CCUACGGGCGGCUGCAGUGGGGAAUAUUGGACAAUGGGGGGAACCCUGAUCCAGCCAUGCCGCGUGUGUGAAGAAGGCCCUCGGGUUGUAAAGCACUUUCAGUGAGGAAGAACGCCUGGUGGUUAAUACCCAUCAGGAAAGACAUCACUCACAGAAGAAGCACCGGCUAACUCCGUGCCAGCAGCCGCGGUAAUACGGAGGGUGCGAGCGUUAAUCGGAAUUACUGGGCGUAAAGCGCGCGUAGGUGGCUUGAUAAGCCGGUUGUGAAAGCCCCGGGCUCAACCUGGGAACGGCAUCCGGAACUGUCAAGCUAGAGUGCAGGAGAGGAAGGUAGAAUUCCCGGUGUAGCGGUGAAAUGCGUAGAGAUCGGGAGGAAUACCAGUGGCGAAGGCGACCUUCUGGACUGACACUGACACUGAGGUGCGAAAGCGUGGGUAGCAAACAGGAUUAGAUACCCUUGUAGUC
rnacentral:rRNA from 1 species